CCCUUAGAUGUUCUGGGUCGCACGCGCGCUACACUGAUGCAUUCAACGAGUCUAAAACCUGGUCUGAUAGGGCUGGGUAAUCUUUUGAAAGUGCAUCGUGAUUGGGAUAGAUGAUUGCAAUUCUUCAUCUUCAACGAGGAAUGCCUAGUAAACGCAAGUCAUCAGCUUGCAUUGAUUACGUCCCUGCCCUUUGUACACACCGCCCGUCGCUCCUACCGAUUGAAUGAUCCGAUGAAUACCAUGGAUUGAGAGUACGAAUGGGUUCGCUCAUUUCUGCUGCUCGAGAAGUGGAGUAAAUCUUAUCAUUUAGAGGAAGGAGAAGUCGUAACA
rnacentral:rRNA from 1 species